rnacentral:misc_RNA from 1 species
CACAGAGCAGGGUGGUGGGUAACACCCACCCGGGGUGACCCGCGGGACAGUGCCACAGAGAACAGACCGCCUCCGGCUCGCCGGAGGUAAGGGUGAAACGGUGGGGCAAGAGCCCACCAGUGCGCCGGGUGACCGGCGCAGCUCGGCAAACCCCACCCGGAGCAAGACCAGACAGCACACGACGGCCUCGGCCGAGAGGGUGACUCGCCCGAGUGUGCGGGUAGGUCGCUGGAGGCUGCCGGCAACGGCAGUCCUAGAUGGAUGGUCGCCACG